rnacentral:rRNA from 1 species
AGUGAACGCUGGCGGUAGGCCUAACACAUGCAAGUCGAACGGCAGCACAGUAAGAGCUUGCUCUUACGGGUGGCGAGUGGCGGACGGGUGAGGAAUACAUCGGAAUCUACUUUUUCGUGGGGGAUAACGUAGGGAAACUUACGCUAAUACCGCAUACGACCUACGGGUGAAAGCAGGGGAUCUUCGGACCUUGCGCGAUUGAAUGAGCCGAUGUCGGAUUAGCUAGUUGGCGGGGUAAAGGCCCACCAAGGCGACGAUCCGUAGCUGGUCUGAGAGGAUGAUCAGCCGCACUGGAACUGAGACACGGUCCCGACUCCUACAGGAGGCAGCAGUGGGGAAUAUUGGACAAUGGGCGCAAGCCUGAUCCAGCCAUACCGCGUGGGUGAAGAAGGCCUUCGGGUUGUAAAGCCCUUUUGUUGGGAAAGAAAAGCAGCAGGUUAAUACCCCGCUGUUCUGACGGUACCCAAAGAAUAAGCACCGGCUAACUUCGUG